UAGCAGAUGAUGAGUAACUCGGAUUCCCCUUCAAGACCUUGUGUGUGAUGUAAUCCCGAGCUUCUGAUGCA